UUUAAUGGUGGCUGUGCGCAGGGCGCCCUCGGGCGCGCCGGAUGCUCCUGACCGGUCGACUAACCUGCGUACAGCCGCCACCCUA
rnacentral:antisense_RNA from 1 species